UGCGUAGGUGGCGUGUUAAGUGUGAUGUUAAAUCGUGGGGCUCAACCCUAUCGAUGCAUCGCAUACUGGCAUGCUAGAGGGAAGCAGAGGCAAGUGGAAUUUGUAGUGUAGCAGUGAAAUGCGUAGAUAUUACAAGGAACACCAAUGGCGAAGGCAGCUUGCUGGGCUUCUUCUGACACUGAGGUACGAAAGCGUGGGGAGCGAACAGGAUUAGAUACCCUGGUAGUCCACGCCGUAAACGAUGCAUACUAGUCUUAUGGGGUAUCGACCCCCUGUGAGACGCAGCUAACGCGAUAAGUAUGCCGCCUGGGAAGUACGGCCGCAAGGCUAAA
rnacentral:rRNA from 1 species